GUGGUUAUUAUUUUGUAGGUACACCAUUACGUGUAGGUACACCAUUACGUGUAGAGAUUAGAGAAGUGGUUAUUAUUUUGUAGGUACACCAUUACAUGUAGGUACACCAUUAUGUGUAGGUACACCAUUACAUGUAGGUACACCAUUAUGUGUAGAGAUUAGAGAAGUGGUUAUUAUUUUGUAGGUACACCAUUACGUGUAGAGAUUAGAGAAGUGGUUAUUAUUUUGUAGGUACACCAUUACGUGUAGAGAUUAGAGAAGUGGUUAUUAUUUUGUAGGUACACCAUUACGUGUAGAGAUUAGAGAAGUGGUUAUUAUUUUGUAGGUACACCAUUACGUGUAGAGAUUAGAGAAGUGGUUAUUAUUUUGUAGGUACACCAUUACAUGUAGGUACACCAUUACGUGUAGAGAUUAGAGAAGUGGUUAUUAUUUUGUAGGUACACCAUUACGUGUAGGUACACCAUUACGUGUAGAGAUUAGAGAAGUGGUUAUUAUUUUGUAGGUACACCAUUACGUGUAGGUACACCAUUACGUGUAGAGAUUAGAGAAGUGGUUAUUAUUUUGUAGGUACACCAUUACGUGUAGAGAUUAGAGAAGUGGUUAUUAUUUUGUAGGUACACCAUUACGUGUAGAGAUUAGAGAAGUGGUUAUUAUUUUGU